GCUUCAGAGACAAACCAUCCUCGAGGAGUGAACCAUAUGUGAAAGGAAAGAACACUGUUGGUGAACCAAACAAUGCUAGGCCAUUUGAAUCAUCCACUUUUCGACUGAUGCCACUAACAAUCCAGGAAGUAACACCUAAUUUUCCACCUCAACCAUUAGCUUUAGCCUCCAAUCAUGGUACUUUCGCCAUCUCAACGAACCCCAUGCAUUUUCCGAUGGCAAACCCUCAGCCUAGUCCACUGCCAAGGCCCAAUGGAAAGCAGGUUCUGCUCUAAACACAUAGAGUGCUGGGUGCAGUGAGUAAUGCCGCUUAUAUCUGGGAUCUUGUUCAGGGGUACAGCUCCUUUGGGUAGUAUCAAAUGAAGACAUGAUUAACACAUAAUAGAGAAAGAAUAAGAAGACGAGAGAAGGAAAUGAACCUGGCUCUGCUAGGAUUGUAACUUAUAAGGAUAAGCUGUACUGCAUCUCUGAGGAUCCCUUCUUGCAACAACAGUCAUCAAUAUUUUGCAGCCGCCAUCUUAACUUUUAAGAAUCGAGCAGCGGUUGCACUUGCACCAUAUGAUUUCCCACAGUUUAUUGGGUUCUUGUAAAAUAGUGACAACUAGAUGUUCAUUGAACUGUGAAGACUCAGAGUAUGAUGACAACUGAAUGCUGCUGAAGGAGUGAGAUCCAUGACAGUAUGGGUGCUCUAUCUUCCAGGGAAAUAUUGCUGGCAUUUAUCAUGUAACAUAGAAUUAGGUUAGAUGUAGAUAAAGUUGAAAGUUCCUAUUCUCUCUCCAACCAGUAGGGAAUCAGGUGUAGUUCUUGCUGUUGCCAUGUAAUAAUCUUUUUGUUGUGUCAUUGAUUGUUUAUUUUGGCCACAAAUAACAGCAUCUCAAUGAGUUGCACAGAACAGUUUUUUU